AACAAGUGGGGCUCCACGUCGCUCGGGUGGUGGCGCGCCUUAGGAAGCGUUGCCUUCCAGGUGAGCCCGUAGCUCGGUGUCGCGUCGGCUAGUCCAAGUACGACAAACCUAGGGUGAGAAGGCAACAGGAAGUGACAGGGUACGGCGUGACAAGCACGAUGCAGGCAUGCCUUAAUAACGAUGACCGUUGCAGUUUGAGUUGGUGCAACAUUUUUCGGAUUUCCUCGGCCGUCGGUUAUGCAACAUCGAUGCGCGAACGCACGGCCACUUGGUUUCUUUGCUGGCUUAUCGCAGUAUUGGCAGACCUGCGAUGGCGUAACAACCAUGGCUAAAUUAAUAUUUAUUAAGGGUGCAUGGGUCUUUUGUCAUGCGUUCAUGCUUCCCCGAGGAGCGUCUGGGCUGAUUGUAGAGUGGACUGGUCAGUAGCCCUCUGCACCAACCGAAAACUGACUGGUGACGUGACUGCGAUGCUUCCGCAACCAGCGCGCAACCAGUGAAUGCACCCGCCCACGCCACAAUACGAGGCAUCAUAUGUUGUAUAACAGCAAAAGCAACAUGGCCGACAAGAGCUUCUUCGCGUUAACCGCUG
rnacentral:lncRNA from 1 species